UACGGAGGGUGCAAACGUUGCUCGGAAUCAUUGGGCGUAAAGCGCACGUAGGCGGCCUGUUAAGUCGGAUGUGAAAGCCCCGGGCUCAACCCGGGAAGUGCAUUCGAAACUGGCAGGCUUGAAUAUGGAAGAGGGUCGCGGAAUUCCCGGUGUAGAGGUGAAAUUCGUAGAUAUCGGGAGGAACACCAGUGGCGAAGGCGGCGACCUGGGCCAAUAUUGACGCUGAGGUGCGAAAGCGUGGGGAGCAAACAGGG
rnacentral:rRNA from 1 species